rnacentral:rRNA from 1 species
UACGGAGGAUCCAAGCGUUAUCCGGAUUUAUUGGGUUUAAAGGGUGCGUAGGCGGACCUUUAAGUCAGCGGUGAAAGUUCCCGGCUCAACCGGGGAAUUGCCGUUGAAACUAUUGGUCUUGAGUGUAGAUGAGGUGGGCGGAAUUCGUAGUGUAGCGGUGAAAUGCUUAGAUAUUACGAAGAACUCCAAUUGCGUAGGCAGCUCACUAGGCUACAACUGACGCUGAGGCACGAAGGUGCGGGGAUCAAACAGG